rnacentral:rRNA from 1 species
GACGGACGCUGGCGGCGUGCUUAACGCAUGCAAGUCGAACGGAAAGGCCCUGCUUUUGUGGGGUGCUCGAGUGGCGAACGGGUGAGUAACACGUGAGUAACCUGCCCUUGACUUUGGGAUAACUUCAGGAAACUGGGGCUAAUACCGGAUAGGAGCUCCUGCUGCAUGGUGGGGGUUGGAAAGUUUCGGCGGUUGGGGAUGGACUCGCGGCUUAUCAGCUUGUUGGUGGGGUAGUGGCUUACCAAGGCUUUGACGGGUAGCCGGCCUGAGAGGGUGACCGGCCACAUUGGGACUGAGAUACGGCCCAGACUCCUACGGGAGGCAGCAGUGGGGAAUAUUGCACAAUGGGCGGAAGCCUGAUGCAGCAACGCCGCGUGCGGGAUGACGGCCUUCGGGUUGUAAACCGCUUUCGCCUGUGACGAAGCGUGAGUGACGGUAAUGGGUAAAGAAGCACCGGCUAACUACGUG